UUCAGAAUCUCACUGAAUGAAAUGUAUACGUGCACAUGUUCUGAUGUUCAUAGUUUUGUCUAUUAAAUUCUUCGAUCAACAAUAGUAACUAGAUUUCGGGUCGGUGCAUAAAAUCCGUCUCGUCAAAUAACAGCGCACUUGAAAUGUGAGCUCUUAUUUUGUUUAGUUCACUUCAAACACAGCCAAUGUCAACCCGUCUCACAAUACCGCAGUGUGUAUUCAAAAGUUGCAAAAAUAAGGCCCGAAAAAGCAAUUUAACGGCCGGAGUAUCUUACUUUCGCUUUCCUAGCAAUCACGUGUGCAGAAUGGAUCUCGAUUGUCGCCAGAGAAACAAGAGAUGACUUUUAUAAGCCAGCUAAGAACUCCGCUUAUUGACACUGGACAUCUUUGCUUCCCGUGCUCACGGCUACUGAAACGUGGCCGAAACAUUGUAAUAAAAAUACCACGCUUGAAACCGUUUAAA